UACGGAGGGUGCAAGCGUUAUCCGGAUUCACUGGGUUUAAAGGGUGCGUAGGUGGGCAGGUAAGUCAGUGGUGAAAUCUCUGGGCUCAACUCAGAAACUGCCAUUGAUACUAUUUGUCUUGAAUACCGUGGAGGUCAGCGGAAUAUGUCAUGUAGCGGUGAAAUGCUUAGAUAUGACAUAGAACACCAAUUGCGAAGGCAGCUGGCUACACGAAUAUUGACACUGAUGCACGAAAGCGUGGGGAGCGAACAGG
rnacentral:rRNA from 1 species